rnacentral:rRNA from 1 species
CUUGGUGAUAGGAGCGACAGUGGUACACCCGGACACAUCUCGAACCCGGAAGUUAAGGCUGUUAGCGCCGAUGGUACUUGGGGGG